GAAGAUCCCUGCGGCUGAGUUCUCGGUAUACCUUGGGAUCCAAAAUCAGCAUGGUGAUUUUUGGCGAUGGUCACUGUGAUGGUUAAUAUUAAUUCUCAACUUGAUCGGAUUGAAGGAUGCAAAGCAUUAUUCCUCAGUGUGUCUGUUAACAUCUGACUGGGAGAGGCGGACCCAACCUCAAACUGGGUGGGCACCAUCUAAUCAGCUGCCAGCACGGCUAGGAUAAAAGCAGCCAAAAGAACAUGGAAAGACUAGACUGGCUGAGUCUUCCAGCCUCAUCUUUCUCCUGUGCUGGAUGCUUCCUGCCCUGGAACAUCGGACUCCAAGUUCUUCAGCUUUUGGACUCUUGGACUUACACCAGUGGUUUGCCAGGGGCUCUGGGACCUUUGACCAUAGACUGAAGGCUGCCCUACUGGCUUCCCCACUUUUGAGGUUUUGGGACUCAGACUGGCUUCCUGGCUCCUCAGCUUGCAGACGGCCUCUUGUGGGACCUCACCUUGUGAUCGUGUGAGUCAAUACUCCUUAAUAAGCUCCCCUUUAUAUAUACAUCUAUCCUAUUAGUCUUGUCCCACUAGAGAACCCUAAUACAGUUACAUAUAUCCCAAAAUUCCCUCACAAAUCCCAUAGGAAGCAGCCACACUGGCCAUCCAUAGAUCAUUUCUAAAUACAGUAAGUCCUGCCCAGCCAGCUGAUCCCACGUUAUUAUUUGGUUGCGAACCAGAUGAAGCUAUUUCCUUGUAUUUAGAGGUCAAAUUGUAGGAGAAAUGUUAAUCUUUCAAUAUUGUAAAAACAUGCAUAAACACUGGACUCCUACUUAGGGCAGCAAAGGGCCACAUGGGAAAAGAAGCUGGUGAUUCCUGAGACUGGUGAAGGAUCAGCCAUCUGCAGCUGCCACCCUAACCUCACCCUGGACAUGCUCCCAUUCCACAGCCUGCAGAAGCAAACUGCCUGUACUUAUAUUAUGCUUGCUUUCUCUUCACAAGCAUACGUGACUGAGUCCGUGUACAUUAAAGGCUUAUG
rnacentral:lncRNA from 10 species